CUCUUGGGCUGCAGGUUCUCAUGUGCCCCCUCCGGACCUUUCAGCCAGUUCCAGUGUUUGUUUUCCUUUCCGAAGUGGGGACAGAUUUGGACAAGGGCGACAGCGGUCUAUUUUCUCCACCUGGAAGCUUGGAAUGAACGAGAGGGGAAACUCAAGACUGGUUUUACCCCGCUUCCUGGAAACAGCAAAGCAAGCAAGAGGCCCCACCGUCAGGGAAAGGGGUAGAGACCGAAGCCUCUGACCAGCAGAUAAAGAAUAUUUGUGCAUGAGCAGGCAUGUUCAUUUGACCCCCUGCCCGUGUGUGUUUGCAUGUUUCUCAAAAGGAGCAUAACAGAAUAGGUAUAGAACAUGUACUCCAUGCAGCCGAGAGGAUAUGCUGAUGCCCACGAAGAUCUGUUUACACUGAGUGCCCCUGAUGACCUCCCAGAGGAUGUACGACACAGUGCCAAGGCUCACACUUUUGCACAAGCACACACAAGCAGGCACGCACUACAGACGCAAGAGCACCUAAGUGAUGGAAACAUUCAGUGGGCUCCAUUUCAUCCCAAGAUUGUAACAGUUGCACUGAAAAUGAGGUCUGCAGGAACAGAGUGCUCUCCGUUUACAUGCUCUCUGGCUGGCUUCCAGCCCCCCUCCCCCUGCACCCCCAACCUGAGAUUCCCGGAGCAACAUGGCGAGCAAUAUUGGAGCCAUCCAGCUGUAGAGUUUUAAGCCAGAUUCCAUCUCAGACGAGGGAAACUAAGACGUAAAUGGAUCUAGUCGUCUACAAGUGGAUGCAUCCGAAUGGAGCGGAGGAGGCAGCUCCACAUUCUUCCACCUGCCGCUGAUUCAUAUUGGUUUGAUUAAAAAAAUACUCAGAAAUGCAAUUUUGAGCUUGACUUUAUUAAUGUCCUCCAUCAUUAAAAAAAUGUCAAAGAUGGUCAAAGGUGUUAAAAACACCAGAAACGCAAUUUUCACAAAUUGAACUUUAGUGAAAUAAUAAGGGAAUUGAUGGGUUAAUCAAUCGGUUCAGAGAGUAAAACGACGUGCUAAAAAGACAGAAGCUCUGGAACAAGUGUCUACAUUUGUUUCAAAACAGCCACAGACUGCAAGUCCAAUUAUAAGAAGGGUCCUUCUUCCCAAUUCCAAAACUCUCGUCCCAGCAUGGUUUACUCCCAAUCCACUCUGCUCCCCCACCAUCUGUUUUAUUCUGUCUUUGCCAUCUUUCCUCGCUGCUCCUUAGUGAAUAUCACUACUUCCAAGCUUUACACCCGUUCUCCUCACCACUCUCCCUUCACCAUACGUUCUCCAUGUCCUCCAUUGUCUCAGUUUAAAUCUUCUUUUAUCUGCUCCCCCCACCCCCCUCUCAUGCACUUCUUCCAUGUGUCUCUUCUUGUGAGUGGCGGGGUCUGCAGGGUGCUUGUUAUCCAGCACCUAUCCAGAAACCGGGAAGCCAGACAGCAUGACAGGCAGCCGUGCAGACAGACAUGCAAAAAGAGAGCAGAAUGACAGCCGGGCAGCUUUUGGAGCAAGACUGACAGAUGGGGGGGGGGUACCAGAGAGCAGGCGUCUGAGGUGGAGGCUCUAUGAGACAGAAUAAAACAGUCUGGAUAAAAGGUAAAUAAAAAAGGAAUGAAUUAGGGCUCUAAACCAGACAAAAAUGAUAGAUAAUGGCAAGGAACUAGAGAACACACAAGUAGAU
rnacentral:lncRNA from 1 species